AAAAAGUUUUAUUUUAGUUUAAAUAAUAAAUAAAUAAUUUUUUUACAUGUAAAUUGAAGUGUUAAUUAUUAUAAUUUUUUUUAGAUUAUAAAUUUUAAUAAUAUUCACAGUAUUUAAUUUUAAAUAUUAAGGAGACUUAGAUUUAGAAAUUUAAUUUAAUAUUAACAUAAUUUGUGCCAGCAGUUGCGGUUAUACAAAUAAUAUAAUUUAUUAUUAUUAAUUUAUAGUUAGUUGAUUAAAUGGAAGAAUUAAUAUUAUGAUUUAUUAAGUGAAAUUUUAAAUUAUAAGAAAAUUUUAUUUUAGAUUAUAAAGCUAUUAAAUUUUAUAUAAAACUAGGAUUAGAUACCCUAUUAUAAAAGUGUAAAUUUUUAAAAUUAAAUUAUUAAUAGUUAUAGUCUUUAAAGUUAAAAAAUUUGGCGGUAUUUUAAUCUAUUCAGAGGAACCUGUUCUGUAAUUGAUAAUCCACGAUUAAAAUGACUUAAUUUAAAAAUUUGUAUAUCGUCGUAGUUGAAUAUUUUAAUAGAAUAAUAAUAUUCAUAAUGUUAAUUUUAAAUAUAAAUCAGAUCAAGAUGCAGUUUAUAAUUAAGAAGUAAUGGGUUACAAAAAUCAAAAAUUUCUGGAUUUAAUUUUUAAAAAGUUAAUGAAAUUGGAUUUGAUAGUAAUUAAAUUAAUCUUGAUUUAAUGAUUUUAGCUCUAAAAUAUGCACAUAUCGCCCGUCGCUCUCAUUUAAAUUGAGAUAAGUCGUAACAUAGUAAAUGUACUGGAAAGUGUAUUUAGUUUG
rnacentral:ncRNA from 1 species